GCGCUCACUUCAGCAGCACACAUGCUAAAAUUGGAACCAUACAGAAGAUUAGCAUGGCCCUCGCACAAGGAUGACAUGCAAAUUUGCUUUAUAAAAUAAAUUUUA
ensembl:snRNA U6 U6 spliceosomal RNA